CCCGCAACGAGCGCAACCCUUGCCUUAGUUUGCCAGCAGUUCGGCUGGGCGACUCUAAAGGGACUGCCGGUGUUAAACCGGAGGAAGGUGGGGAUGACGUCAAGUCCUCAUGGCCUUUAUGACCAGGGCUACACACGUACUACAAUGGCCGAUACAAAGGGCAGCGACACUGCGAGGUGAAGCCAAUCCCGUAAAAUCGGUCUCAGUCCGGAUUGGAGUCUGCAACUCGACUCCAUGAAGUUGGAAUCGCUAGUAAUCGUGGAUCAGCAUGCCACGGUGAAUACGUUCCCGGGCCUU
rnacentral:rRNA from 1 species